rnacentral:rRNA from 1 species
AUGGGAUAUAAUGGAAAUGCAGAUGAGAAGUUCAGGGAUAUUCCUGGGAGUGCCUAUUAUGUGGCUCCGGAGGUGCUGAAGCGGAUAUAUGGAGCCGAUAAUUGCAUAUGGAGUGCUAGAGUUAUACUCUACACUCUGUUGUCUGGCAUUCCUCCUUUUUGGGCAGCAGGGCAGGUGCAUUCUCUGGCUGUGCAAUCUUCCGGGUGCAAUCCUCAAAUAUGGGAUGUCGUACUAGCCUUAAUUCAACAUCUGGAAUGGCUUAUGAUGGCAUGGAGUUCCAUCAUUUCGGCUACUUGCGGCGGGGAGUGUGGCCGGUGCUUGCGGCAGCAGCGAAGCGGCGUGCGCGAGCGCAGUGUAGGCAGUGGCCAAAGGCUCAUCGGCUGCUGCGAGUACGCCGUUGGCACCAGCCGGCAAGAAUCCAUUGAGUCUUCCUCUAUGUGUGCAACCUUGCCAGCAUGGGAAUCAAUCAAGGUAGGGGCAGCCAACGUUAAGAUAGAAGGGUUGUUGGUUGCUUCAAGAGUUAAUAACGAGGGCCCCAGCGAGAAAUGUCCUGUUAAGACGGGAAUCCGAGCGGGAUCAGGAGUUGUAGCGGUAUUAAUUAUGAUGCACGAGAGGUGGGGGCGUGCUCUCCUCAUUACGUCCUCCAUGCAUUGCAUACGACAGUCCAUCUCCCAUCUACAUGGCAUAGGGGCAAAAUUGGAUAGUCACAAUUGGCUUCUGGCCCAUUUUUACCGCGAACGGUCCCCAGUCAGCCCGGGCCAAUAUUACAGGGCUGCUGCUCCCGACGUUGACAUGUGCGCCUCCUUGUUAAAUGGGCCGGUAGCGCACAUGUUUCAAAUUCCUUCACCCACGGAUCAGAUAAGGAAGGACGUCAUUGGAAAGCUGAGCGGCGGCGGCGAUACUUCCGGCCACCCGGGGACAAGGAUAAUGGAGGAUGUGGGUAUGGAGUUUCUUCUCGUCGCCGUCGACAGAGUCUGCCGGCGUCGGAAAUCAUCACGGACUAGGUCGGCGCAGUCCACAUACAAAGUCAACCCCCAGGCCCCAGGAUGGACGAAAAGUUUGCUGACGGCCGAAGAAAUUGAAUCAGCUGAGGUAGUGGAUGUGGCCGAAGAAAUUGAACCACCAUGGUCUCCGUGGGCGGGUUUGACUGAACCUGUUGAUUGUUGGGAGCCGGAGCUAUCUAGCCUGCUUGGUUGCCCUGGUGCACAUGGUGCCGGCCGACUUGCUGCUGAGCAUGGGCUAUCUGCUGAGGGCUCAUCCUCCUCAGGUAUGAGCGCUGAAAGUCGAAGAAGUGACACAGCCGAGCCUGCGGAAAAAUGCAGACCUAUAGACCGAAACUCAAUAUCAUGCCUGAAGCCUGCAAGAUGCAAGAACUGUGGUGUUCAAGGUCGCCUCCGCAACAGCUGCACCAGGCCUCGCCUCUGGUUGUACAAUGGAUUCAAAAUUCAAAAGUGCAGUGGUGGGCGGCGUAGUGGCGUGGCAUUGCAUAAGAUGACUGCUGGAUGCUGGGAUCAUGUUCGUGCUCUCGUGAGUGGUACUCUUCAAGCAGGGAUGGGGCCGGCGUGGAGCGUAUGGGCUGACUCGAGUGUUGAGGCGUCGGCGUCGGUGUCCAAAUGCAGUUCGCCCUCUCGAGCCUGCAUCUGCUCCUGA